rnacentral:rRNA from 1 species
CCUACGGGAGGCAGCAGUGAGGAAUAUUGGUCAAUGGACGAGAGUCUGAACCAGCCAAGUAGCGUGAAGGAUGACUGCCCUAUGGGUUGUAAACUUCUUUUAUAUGGGAAUAAAAUGUUCCACGUGUGGGAGUUUGUAUGUACCAUAUGAAUAAGGAACGGCUAACUCCGUGCCAGCAGCCGCGGGAAGAAGGAGGAUCCGAGCGUUGUCCGGAUUUAUUGGGUUUAAAGGGAGCGUAGGUGGAUUGUUAAGUCAGUUGUUAAAGUUUGCGGCUCAACCGUAAAAUUGCAGUUGAAAAUGGCAGUCUUGAGUACAGUAGAGGUGGGCGGAAUUCGUGGUGUAGCGGUGAAAUGCUUAGAUAUCACGAAGAACUCCGAUUGCGAAGGCAGCUCACUGGACUGCAACUGACACUGAGGCUCGAAAGUGUGGGUAUCAAACAGGAUUAGAUACCCGUGUAGUC